CUUGCUGUCUCAGCUAGACUCUUGCUCAAUAAGAUAAUAGUUGCAAAUAACUUUAUUGCUCAUUCUGGGAACUUCCUGAACGAUACAUUACUCCUCCAGACUCUGAAUUCUUUGCCUUAAAAAUCCUCACCUCAUAGUCACCCAUCCUAAAUUAUUACAUCACCAUCCUUACCUAAUCCUAAGACUCUCCACUGAAAGGCCUUCCUGAAGCUAGAACUCGAAUAUCUCACAACAGCUUGGUUUCUCCUCCCCACCCAAAAUUCUGUCAAGGUUGCUCUCUUUUACUGCAGUAAGAAUAAACUCAGCUUUGUCUUAUCAACAAAUUGUCUUGGCGAUCUUUAUGGGGAGCCAGUAUUCCACGUGGAUUAGUGAACUGAACUCUGGAACUGGAAUCAGAAGGUAGGAGUUGAAGUCACAGCUCUGCCACAUGGACAAGUCACUAAUUUUCAGAUGCCUCUGCUGUAAAAUCACACAGGUCCCACAGGGCACCGAAGCUGGCAGCAUCCAUCAUCCAGAAGCUUCCCUUGGCACCCAUCUUGAGUGGUUUUAUAGCAGCGCGCCUCUUGUGACACACCUCCCUGUGAACAGCUUCCCAGGAACCCUAGAGGAACAGAUUUUCUCCAGCAAGUUAUCAGCGGAUUUCCAGCAAAUUCUGCUGCUGUGACACCACAAUGACUUCUCUGUCAUCCAGUUAGUCAUGACCCUGACUUCUCCAAAAGAUCUGGAUUUCAGCUUUCAGGGAGAGGGGCAGCCCGGGUGGCUCAGCGGUUUAGCACCUGCCUUUGGCCCAGGGUGUGAUCCUGGAG